AUGUUGUCACAGCUGAGGUCAUACAAUGAUGCUUACAGCGUUCUGUCUUGUGAGAGGGAAGUGGCUUCUCUUCACAGAUAGUUUAAAUACUUGGCCUGCUUACAUAGGCUUUCAUCUGGCAGAUUGUGGUUCAUGUGCUGAACAGCAACAGCGAUUGUUGAGGUCGAAGUACUGCACCUCUCUCACAUUUCCAGAGUACCUGGCAGGAGAAAACUUCUCCGUUUCUCAUCAGAGUACAUCAAAUACAGCACUCCUUCUGAAGCAACCUUCCAAAGCAAUAUGA
rnacentral:lncRNA from 1 species